rnacentral:rRNA from 1 species
AUGAAGGUGAGUUUGACUACGAACUCGAGGAUGCUGGGAACGAUCUCUUUUCGGGGAAUCACUCCCGUCGAGAGGCCCUCUUCCUCCCUUUUUCUGAAUCUGGGAGAGAGGCAAAAGAGAAGUCCAGAGAGACCUCGACUCUUUCAGGGAAAGGAGGGAGAUCGAAUGCGAGAUGGAGUCCCUGCCGAAUGGAAUGGACAUCCUUGGGGACAGCUGUGUAAGACUUAA